rnacentral:rRNA from 1 species
UGGGGAAUAUUGGGCAAUGGGCGCAAGCCUGAUCCAGCCAUGCCGCGUGAGUGACGAAGGCCUUAGGGUUGUAAAGCUCUUUUGGCGGGGACGAUAAUGACGGUACCCGCAGAAUAAGCUCCGGCUAACUUCGUGCCAGCAGCCGCGGUAAUACGAAGGGAGCUAGCGUUGUUCGGAAUCACUGGGCGUAAAGCGCACGUAGGCGGAUUAUUAAGUCAGGGGUGAAAUCCCGGGGCUCAACCUCGGAACUGCCUCUGAUACUGAUAGUCUCGAGUCCGGAAGAGGUGGGUGGAAUUCCUAGUGUAGAGGUGAAAUUCGUAGAUAUUAGGAAGAACACCGGUGGCGAAGGCGGCCCACUGGUCCGGUACUGACGCUGAGGUGCGAAAGCGUGGGGAGCAAACAGGAUUAGAUACCCCCGUAGUCCCUGAGCGGGCUGGCAAGGCGCAU